AGGCGGGGCACUAGCGCGAAAAGAGAGUGCGAGUCUGAGGUGAUCUUCGGAGAGGAGAGAAGAAAUAAAAAAAAAAUAGUGUAACGAAAUAGGUGUGAUUUCUAAUAUAGCCAACACGGUUAUAAAUUCUAAUUUAUUUUUAUAUUCCCCUGUACAUACGCUUGUUAAAUCCGCCUUGUUUUAGUGUAGAUACUAGAUAGUAUUAUUUUUUUGUUGUUGUCACGUCGUCUAGAAGACUCUCCUCUGUAUCUGUUAGCGCUCGGGGCGACCGGCAAGCUCUGAGUUUGGCCGAUACCAACCAAAGCAACCCGGUAACUUAGAGGGAGAAUAAAAAGGCUGCUGAGAGCCCUUUAUUCCAUCGCCAUCUCCUCUGGACCAACGAUACUCUGUUGGACUCAAGGAUAUAAAGCAACGUUGUUCAGCCUCAGAAAACAUUUUAAAUGGUCUAGUUUCAGAUUUCCAAAGGAGUAAAACAAAGAAGAAUGAAUUGAAGGGAGAAUUAGAGUCAGGGAAUAAUGCCAUCACCCAGCACAUCCGUUUCCUCAUUCUGUUCAAAGUUAACAGAAGACUCUAUUUGGAUGAAGCUUGCAAAUCCCUUGUCCCAUGUAUGGACAACUUUGAUUGUGUAACUCAUGGGCUGGGUUCCAAAAUAAUGGCUCUUUCAACCAAUGUACUCCUUGGAUAUGUUAAUCAUCUGGAAGAAGUACUAACAAAGUUAGUAAGGACAAUUGAUGUACCACAUUUCAUCACUACAGUUAUAGAUGUCACUUUGUUUUAUAUAUUUUCUUUUGAAUUUUCCACCUGAAGGCUUUACUAUUAUUAUUGUAUUUGUUCAUUGUACACAAACAUUUAUUUCCUUUUGUACUGAAUCAGUAUAUUUUUAUAUUUGUUUUUCUACUGAUCCAUAUAAUCCAUAUUUAUUUGACCAUAAUCUACUUAAACUCUGUCUCAUUUCUUUGUGGACUGCCUUUAUGAAAUUGUAAACCUUUAGACAUUACCUGUUGAGAUUUAAAACACACUUAAAAUGAAACAAUAUAU